rnacentral:rRNA from 1 species
AGUGAACGCUGGCGGUAGGCCUAACACAUGCAAGUCGAACGGCAGCACAGUAAGAGCUUGCUCUUACGGGUGGCGAGUGGCGGACGGGUGAGGAAUACAUCGGAAUCUACUUUUUCGUGGGGGAUAACGUAGGGAAACUUACGCUAAUACCGCAUACGACCUACGGGUGAAAGCAGGGGAUCUUCGGACCUUGCGCGAUUGAAUGAGCCGAUGUCGGAUUAGCUAGUUGGCGGGGUAAAGGCCCACCAAGGCGACGAUCCGUAGCUGGUCUGAGAGGAUGAUCGGCCACACUGGAACUGGAACACGGUCCAGACUCCUACGGGAGGCAGCAGUGGGGAAUAUUGGACAAUGGGCGCAAGCCUGAUCCAGCCAUACCGCGUGGGUGAAGGAGGCCUUCGGGUUGUAAAGCCCUUUUGUUGGGAGAGAAAAGCAGCAGGUUAAUACCCCGCUGUUCUGACGGUACCCAAAGAAUAAGCACCGGCUAACUUCGUG